rnacentral:rRNA from 1 species
CCUACGGGUGACAGCAGUGAGGAAGAGUGGUCAAUGGGCGAGAGCCUGAACCAGCCAAGUCGCGUGAAGGAUGAAGGAUCUAUGGUGUGUAAACUUCUUUUAUAUGGGAAGAAAGUGAGGAACGUGUGCCGUUUUGUAUGUACCAUAUGAAUAAGCAUCGGCUAACGCCGUGCCAGCAGCCGCGGUAAUACGGAGGAGGCGAGCGUUAUCGGAUUUAGGGGGGUUAAAGGGGGCGUAGGUGGUUAAUUAAGUCUGCGGUGAAAGUUUGGGGCUCAACCAUAAAAUUGCCGUUGAAACUGGUUGACUUGAGUAUAUUUGAGGUCGUCGUACUGCGUGGUGUAGCGGUG